rnacentral:rRNA from 1 species
GUCCACGCCCUAAACGAUGGAUACUCGACAUUAGCGAUACACAGUUAGUGUCUGAGCGAAAGCAUUAAGUAUCCCACCUGGGAAGUACGAUCGCAAGAUUGAAACUCAAAGGAAUUGACGGGGUCGCACAAGCGGUGGAGCAUGUGGUUUAAUUCGAUGAUACGCGAGGAACCUUACCUGGGCUAGAAUGCUGGGAGACCGUGGGUGAAAGCUCACUUUGUAGCAAUACACUGCCAGUAAGGUGCUGCAUGGCUGUCGU